rnacentral:rRNA from 1 species
UAUGGCGACCGGCGCACGGGUGAGUAACACGUAUCCAACCUGCCGAUGACUCGGGGGAUAGCCUUUCGAAAGAAAGAUUAAUACCCGAUGGCAUAGUUCUUCCGCAUGGUGGAACUAUUAAAGAAUUUCGGUCAUCGAUGGGGAUGCGUUCCAUUAGGUUGUUGGCGGGGUAACGGCCCACCAAGCCUUCGAUGGAUAGGGGGUUCUGAGAGGAAGGUCCCCCACAUUGGAACUGAGACACGGUCCAAACUCCUACGGGAGGCAGCAUG